AGCGGUGGAGCAUGUGGUUUAAUUCGACGCAACGCGCAGAACCUUACCAGCCCUUGACAUCCCGGUCGCGGACUCCAGAGACGGAGUUCUUCAGUUCGGCUGGACCGGAGACAGGUGCUGCAUGGCUGUCGUCAGCUCGUGUCGUGAGAUGUUGGGUUAAGUCCCGCAACGAGCGCAACCCCCGUCCUUAGUUGCUACCAUUUAGUUGAGCACUCUAAGGAGACUGCCGGUGAUAAGCCGCGAGGAAGGUGGGGAUGACGUCAAGUCCUCAUGGCCCUUACGGGCUGGGCUACACACGUGCUACAAUGGCGGUGACAAUGGGACGCUAAGGGGCAACCCUUCGCAAAUCUCAAAAAGCCGUCUCAGUUCGGAUUGGGCUCUGCAACUCGAGCCCAUGAAGUUGGAAUCGCUAGUAAUCGUGGAUCAGCACGCCACGGUGAAUACGUUCCCGGGC
rnacentral:rRNA from 1 species